GGGUCCAACCUCCCACCCGUGUUUAACGAACCUUGUUGCUUCGGCGGGCCCGCCUCACGGCCGCCGGGGGGCAUCCGCCCCCGGGCCCGCGCCCGCCGAAGCCACCUGUGAACGCUGUCUGAAGUAUGCAGUCUGAGACAAUUAUUAAAUUAAUUAAAACUUUCAACAACGGAUCUCUUGGUUCCGGCAUCGAUGAAGAACGCAGCGAAAUGCGAUAACUAAUGUGAAUUGCAGAAUUCAGUGAAUCAUCGAGUCUUUGAACGCACAUUGCGCCCUCUGGUAUUCCGGAGGGCAUGCCUGUCCGAGCGUCAUUGCUGCCCUCCAGCCCGGCUGGUGUGUUGGGCCCCGCCCCCCUUCCCGGGGGGGCGGGCCCGAAAGGCAGCGGCGGCACCGCGUCCGGUCCUCGAGCGUAUGGGGCUUUGUCACCCGCUCUUGCAGGCCCGGCCGGCGCCAGCCGACCCCCUCAAUCUAUUUUUUCAGGUUGACCUCGGAUCAGGUAGGGAUACCCGCUGAACUUAAGCAUAUCAAUAAGCGGAGGAUACUGAGCU
rnacentral:rRNA from 1 species